UUUAGUGGCUGGCCUAAAGUAAGACAUUAUAAUCUAAGUUUUAGGGAUGUUCUUUCAGUCUUUUUUUUGCAUAAUGGUGUAAUUAAGGCCGUUGACUUCUAGCAUUAUGGUCUCUCUAUGUCCAAUUUGUGGUCCAAUUUUUGUUAUGCAUGUAUAUAAAGAUGGGUCAUGGAUUGACAUGGCUCCCAGUAUGUAUUUUUUUGGAAUCUUUGAUCCUUUGUUGUGGUCCCACUGUGGACUUAUGUCGAUCC
rnacentral:lncRNA from 1 species